GAANNNGGCGGGUGCUGAUACAUCCAAGGCUUAAGAAUGAUGAGGAAGCUUGCUNUCCUCUGAUUUAGCGGCGGACGGGUGAGUAACACGUGGGCAACCUACCUUAUAGUUUGGGAUAACUCCGGGAAACCGGGGCUAAUACCAAAUAAUCUCUUUUACUUCAUGGUGAAAGACUGAAAGACGGCAUCUCGCUGUCGCUAUAGGAUGGGCCCGCGGCGCAUUAGCUAGUUGGUGAGGUAACGGCUCACCAAGGCGAACGAUGCGUAGCCGACCUGAGAAGGGUGAUCGGCCACACUGGGAACUGAGAACACGGCCCAGAACUCCUACGGGAGGCAGCAGUAGGGAAUCUUCCACAAUGGGCGAAAGCCUGAUGGAGCAACGCCGCGUGAGUGAAGAAGGAUUUCGGUUCGUAAAACUCUGUUGUAAGGGAAGAACAAGUACAGUAGUAACUGGCUGUACCUUGACGGUACCUUAUUAGAAAGCCACGGUAACUACGUGCCAGCAGCCGCGGUAAUACGUAGGUGGCAAGCGUUGUCCGGAAUUAUUGGGCGUAAGCGCGCGCAGGUGGUUUCUUAAGUCUGAUGUGAAAGCCCACGGUUCAACCGUGGAGUGGGUCAUUUGGAAACUUGGGGAACUUUGAGUGCGGAAGAGGAUAG
rnacentral:rRNA from 1 species